GACGUAGGGGGCCAGCGUUGCUCGGAAUUACUGGGCGUAAAGCGUCCGUAGGCGGUGCGGCAAGUCGGGAGUGAAAUCUCUGGGCUUAACUCAGAGGCUGCUUCCGAAACUACCGUGCUAGAGUGCGAGAGAGGCAAGUGGAAUUGCGGGUGUAGCGGUGAAAUGCGUAGAUAUCAGGAGGAACACCAGCGGUGUAGACGGCUUUCUGGACCAUUGCUGACGCUGAGACACGAAAGCGUGGGUAGCAAACAGG
rnacentral:rRNA from 1 species